CGAUGCAAUUCAAAUAGUA
rnacentral:snRNA from 1 species